CACAUGGUAGAUAUCUUUUUAACACUGACUGCUGCAUCAACUGUGUUUGGAGAAAGACAUUCAUGAGUCACCACUGGGAAACUUUUCACAGAUUCCUGUUAUCCAAGAUGGUACAAUGGCACAGCGGUAGAGUUGCUGCCUUUCAGUGCCCAGAGACCCAGGUUUGUUUGUACGGUUUGUAUGUUCUCCCUGUGACUGUGUGGAUUUUGUCCAGAUGCUCCGGUUUCCUCCCUCAUCCCAAAGACAUGCAGGUUUUUAAGUUAAUUGCCAUCUGUAAAUUGUCCCUUGUGUGUAGGAUAGAAUUAAUAUUAGCGGGUGACUGUUGGCGAGGACACAUUGGGCCAAAGGGUCUGUUUCUGCACUGCAUCUUUACAUUAAACUAAACUAAAAGCAUUCAAAGUGCCACAGUAACUCAGCGGUGAGGCAGCACAUCUGUACAACACGGAUAGGUUACAUUUCGGGUUGCAAGCUUUCUUCAGUCUUUUUGAAAAAAAAGUCCCAACCCAAAAUGUCACGUAUCCAAGUUCUCCAGAUAUGCUGCCUGACCCACUGAAUUACUCCAGCACUUUGUGUCCUAUUGUACAAAUCACCAUCUGCACUUCCUUGUGUCCACAUCCAAAAUCAUUCAUUCAUUCGUACAAUUGGGCUCCAAAAGCAGUUAUUUUUAUCCCUGAUAAAAAUGUAUCACUGGGGAAUAGAUCAGAUGAAAUGUGUAAAAUGAACUUGUCAACAGCUUUGAAAGAUCCAUAACACAUAUAAUUUAAGUCUAGUUGAGGCUAUUGUCAAAUGCACAUUUAAGAAACAUUCAGACGGGUACAUGGAUAGGACUGGUUUAGAGGGGUAUGGACAAAAACAGGCAGGAUGCGUAAAUGGGGCAUGUUGGUCGGUGUGGGCAAGGUGGGUCGAGCCGGCCUGUUUCCCCACUCAAUGAAUCUAUGGCCCAAGUCCAGUGAGGUGCAGGUACAAUGAAAAGCUUACUUUUCAUUCCCGUUACUGCAAAGUUAUAGGAACAUAGACUCAAAUCAGACAUAGUUCAUGUAUAUAUACCUCAGUCAGAGGGUGGUGAAUCUGUGGAAUUCUUUGCCACAGAAGGCUCUGGAGGUCAACUCAGUGGAUAUUUUUAAAGCAGAGAUACAGAUUCUUGAUUAGUACAGGUGACAGAGGUUAUGGGGAGAAUGGGGUUAAGAGGGAGAGAUAGAUCAGCCAUAAUUGUAUGGCGGAGUAGACUCGAUGGGCAGAAUGGCCUAAUUCCAUUCCUAUUCCUUAUGACCUUAUGACAUGGAAUGUAAAAUUACACGUAAAUCUUACAAAAUAAUGAAAAAAACACGAAAAAAUGGAAACAAGACAAUGAGUGCAAAAAUAUUUAGAAAUGAAAAGGUUCAAAGGUGAGUAAAGAUGCCACAGUCUGCCCUCUCCUCAUUCUCAUCCACUUCACCUCCCAGCACUUUUCCACCGGUCCCUCCUUCUCCUCACCUACCUGCCUGCCACUCCCCUCUCAUCAGCCCAACUCUCCUCACUUGUUGCACUCAUUUGCCUCUGAUCACCAAUUAACCCGGUAUAUAGACUCGCCUCACCAUUCACACAGUGCCAGAUUGUUCUCAGCAUUCAUGCAAGACUCUCCAGCGAUUUCCCGACUGCCUACACGGAUUCGAACCUGCCUGCCCCUGACCAUUCCAUCCUGUCGUCUUACCGGAUAUCUCAGCCUUCUGUCCACGGCCUUCGUCCCGUACCUCCUGGUUUCUGUCUGCCUCUCUCCUGGGCUGUUUGGUGUAUCCCUGCAACGGCUCCUCGACUUCCUGCCUGGCUUUGACUCUCCUUUUGUCUGUCCCUCGCUGGUUUGUUUGCAUCGUGUGUUGGAUCUCCUGGUUACCGGACCUUCCGCUACCCCGACUACGUCUCCUGCCUGCCCCUCUUCGGAACCCUCGCCCAAUCCUGAGCCUCUGUGUGAGUACGGUGUACCCAUUCCUGUGUUACUACUCUGUGUUACAGUAUCGUAAUAAAGUUCAUGACCAAUUAUACCUGCCUGAUUCUGUGCUGCUAUUGGGUCCAAGCUAGACCCGUUACAAAAGAAAGUGUGCGCCUGCACAAAGCAUGAAAGUAAAGCGCUGGAGGAACUUGGUAUGUCAGGCAGCAUCUGUGUAGGGAGUGACCUUUCUUCUGACCUUUCUUCUCCUGCAUGCUGGUUGAAGGUCUCUCGAGUGCCAUUUUUAAAAACAAUUAAUGAUGUUCAAUUGAGUCUCAGUGGAUCAAUUUUAACAAACAUUAUUGUGAAGGAGUGGUCAGAGUAUGUGGAAACCUGGUAGCGUUCCAGCAUCAUACACUUAUCAACAUUGAAGUCAUUAGUUCUUCCAUACAUUGACCAUGGAGAUUUGCUCUAACAAUAUGCAGAAAAAAAAUGGCAUUUUGGUUUUAUUUUAAUAACUUUUACAAAAGAUGCAACAUUUCCCAAACAACGGUUGCCUGCUUCAUCAUCCUCGGCUGUCCCUCAGGCCUGAGGUUGAUUCAUUUCCACUUUGAUAGUAAGAUCUGCACAGGAUUUGCUCCAAUGUGGGGUAACUUGAGUUCAGCAGUUGCCAUGGGAGCCUGGAGGGCAAAGUCUCAUUUGUCCUCUUACAAAACCUCUGCUCACAUCCAAUGAAAUCCGUUUGGGUUUCCUGCCAGAUUUUGGUUUCGAAUACAAUCUUUCCCUCCCUGAUUUUCUUUGCAAAUCAAAACAGAAGGAACUGCUGUGAUCCUGAACGUGUUGGAGUUCCUCAUUGAGUCGGGCAGCAAUCAUGGAGUGAGUGGAUAGCCGAUAUUUCAGCUUAACAGCUUGGAUUGGAGCGGCCUUUCCCAGAAUCGGGCCUGGAUCUUCAGCAGCGGGUGCAGCAUCGACUUUUCCAUCACAGAGUGGGUGAACCCUUGCCGGGGGUCACCAGAGAGGAGUGCUUUGAUCGCUGGCCUGGUGAAUGUGGUCUGUGGAGCUUCUAGCCAUGGGCGUGGCAUGGACUUACGGAGUCUGGGAUCCCUUGCUGGGGAUUGCUGGAUAGAGCUCCGACUGCCUGCCUGCUGACUAUAACAUCCUGAAGCCAUGGUCUCUGGUAGGAAAGUGCCGAUUCGGGCACUCCAAGCCACGGAGUGUGUUCGACCGUCCCGAUAUCAGAGCUUAGAUCAUUCUGACGAGCGGGCCUGUACAUCUGGCCGUCCAUAGCGGUGACUACGGAGUUUUAUGGCCCCAACCACGGAUGAACAAAGGAGGAGGAUUGGCUGAACUUUGUUGCCUUCCACCACAGUGAAGAAUGGUGUGGUGGAUGUUUGUAUUAAAUUCUAUUGUGUGUUCUUUUUUAAAGUGUAUCGCUGCCUGGUUAAUUCAUUUCACUGCACCUUAGAUGGUGCAUGCGACGAAUAAAUUUGACUUGGACUUUGA